rnacentral:rRNA from 1 species
GCCUAAUACAUGCAAGUCGAGCGGAAUGAAGAAGAAGCUUGCUUCUUCUGAUUUUAGCGGCGGACGGGUGAGUAACACGUGGGCAACCUACCUUGUAGAUUGGGAUAACUCCGGGAAACCGGGGCUAAUACCGAAUAAUCCAUUUUGCUUCAUGGCGAAAUGUUAAAAGGCGGCUUCGGCUGUCACUGCAAGAUGGGCCCGCGGCGUAUUAGCUAGUUGGUAGGGUAACGGCCUACCAAGGCGACGAUACGUAGCCGACCUGAGAGGGUGAUCGGCCACACUGGGACUGAGACACGGCCCAGACUCCUACGGGAGGCAGCAGUAGGGAAUCUUCCACAAUGGACGAAAGUCUGAUGGAGCAACGCCGCGUGAGUGAAGAAGGUUUUCGGAUCGUAAAACUCUGUUGUAAGGGAAGAACACGUACGAGAGUAACUGCUCGUACCUUGACGGUACCUUAUUAGAAAGCCACGGCUAACUACGUGCCAGCAGCCGCGGUAAUACGUAGGUGGCAAGCGUUGUCCGGAAUUAUUGGGCGUAAAGCGCGCGCAGGCGGUCCUUUAAGUCUGAUGUGAAAGCCCACGGCUCAACCGUGGAGGGUCAUUGGAAACUGGAGGACUUGAGUACAGAAGAGGAAAGCGGAAUUCCACGUGUAGCGGUGAAAUGCGUAGAGAUGUGGAGGAACACCAGUGG